rnacentral:rRNA from 1 species
UACGGGGGGGGCAAGCGUUGUUCGGAAUUACUGGGCGUAAAGGGCUCGUAGGCGGCCAACUAAGUCAGACGUGAAAUCCCUCGGCUUAACCGGGGAACUGCGUCUGAUACUGGAUGGCUUGAAUCCGGGAGAGGGAUGCGGAAUUCCAGGUGUAGCGGUGAAAUGCGUAGAUAUCUGGAGGAACACCAAUGGCGAAGGCAGCUCGCUGGGACGGUACUGACGCUGAGACGCGAAAGCGUGGGGAGCAAACAGG